GCAGAGGAGGAGCUGCCAAUUAGAAUCUGGUAAUGAAAAUCCAUAAAGUUGGAGAAAAACAAGAGUAUAGUGUCAAACAAUCAGAGAAGGGAAGAGUAAGCUGCAUUGACUGUUGCUGAGAUGUCAAGUUAGACGUGUACAGACAUGUAACUGUUAGAUUUGGUAACAUCAGUUCCCUUGCCAAGAGGAGUUUCAAAGCCAUGGUAGGCUGGAAGCAAGGCUGAACAGAGCUGAAGACUAAAUAGGUAGCAAUAAGGAGAGACAUCAACCAAGGACUAUUCUUUCAAGAAGUUUGGCUGAAAAAAGAAAAAAAUGGUGUAGUAUUUGAAAAAGAUUUGAGUUCAAGAGGUUUCCUCUACUUCCAAAGGAAGAAGUGGGAAUUAACUUUGAGCAGAAUAUCCUUUGUUUUGGAAAGAGCUGUCCUCUGAAGAUUCCUACGUUAGAAGAACCCCCACUGCCACCUGCCAGGGGGAAGAAGUGUCUACACUAAUAUUGAGCAGCAGCAGCCAUUUGGAACCAAGAAGAUAACCUUGAGGAUAAGAUCCACAUUCUGAGAUGAUGGAGCCAAAGGGCCACACUACUAAGAGAAUCUGCAGGCUUCUAAAGUGCUGUCAGACUCUGAGACCUCAUGGACUGCAGCCCACCAGGCUCCUCUCUCCAUGGGAAUUCUCCAGGCAGGAAUACUCGGUUGGGUUCCCAUGCCCUCCUCCAGAGGAUCUUCCCAAUCCAGGGAUCGAACCCAGGUCUCUGACAUUGCAGAUGUAAAAUCAACACAGGCCAAGAUUUUGAUGAGGGAACCAAGAAGAUACCACAACUGGUUAAAAACAGAAUGCAAGGUGCCACAUAAUUGGAGUCAGCUCGGUGUCUUUUCUCUUUGAUGCCCAUUUGGAAAGAAAUUUAAAACUAAUUAUAAUUGAUGAGUCUAUUUUGUUUGUGCUUCAAAGAACUAACAGGAGCAGAGCCCAAAGAGGAAGAAUGUUACUGGGAUGAUUCCACAUUUAACUAAGAGAUUCUUGGACUCUCAGUUAUGAAAAAUAAAAAAAUGGCCUAAAUGUCACAGUGAAUAUUUAUUGAGCACUCACAGGU
ensembl:lncRNA